UGGGGAAUAUUGGACAAUGGGCGAAAGCCUGAUCCAGCAAUGCCGCGUGAGUGAUGAAGGCCUUAGGGUUGUAAAGCUCUUUUACCCGGGAUGAUAAUGACAGUACCUGGAGAAUAAGCUCCGGCUAACUCCGUG
rnacentral:rRNA from 1 species